rnacentral:rRNA from 1 species
AUUGAACGCUGGCGGCAGGCCUAACACAUGCAAGUCGAGCGGAUGAAGGGAGCUUGCUCCUGGAUUCAGCGGCGGACGGGUGAGUAAUGCCUAGGAAUCUGCCUGGUAGUGGGGGAUAACGUCCGCAAACGGGCGCUAAUACUGCAUACGUCCUGAGGGAGAAAGUGGGGGAUCUUCGGACCUCACGCUCUCAGAUGAGCCUAGGCCGGAUUAGAUAGUUGGUGGGGUAAAGGCCUACCAAGGCGACGAUCCGUAACUGGUCUGAGAGGAUGAUCAGUCACACGGGAACUGAGACGCGGUCCAGACUCCUACGAGAGGCAGCAGUGGGGAAUAUUAGACAGUGGGCGAAAGCCUGAUACAGCCAUGCCGCGUGUGUGAAGAAAGUGUUGGGAUUGUAAAGCACUUUAAGUUGGGAGGAAGGGCAGUAAGUUAAUACCUUGCUGUUUUGACGGUACCAACAGAAUAAGCACCGGCUAACUUCGUG